GCGCCCAUAGCUCAGUUGGAUAGAGCGACGGACUUCGAAUCCGUAGGCCGAAGGUUCGAGACCUUCUGGGCGUA
rnacentral:tRNA from 1 species